rnacentral:tRNA from 2 species
GCCACCAUAGCUCAGUUGGUAGAGCAUCUGAUUUGUAAUCAGAGGGUCGCGGGUUCGAAUCCUGCUGGUGGCU